CAUAUUUAGGUUGAAGUGGCAUUUUCAUUGGCGUGCACUGUCCUAGGGAAUGAUUUGCUACAGAAAGGAUUAAAAGAAAAUGAAGGAUGUGAAUAUUCCGAUGUCCUUUAUCUUCUCCACUCAAAAGAUAAGGAAAUCUGCCUGACAGCAGGUCAUGCACUAACCCUUUUUGCCUUCAACAAUCGUUUCCAACAGCACUUAAUAUUGGAAACUGGAAUGAUAACUUAUCUAUUUUCGAGCCUUUUCUUCAAUUCAGGGUGCAAACAGAGAGGGCAAUGGCAGCAUUUCAGAUUAUUGUAUUAUCUAAAGUCAUUAUAGACAUGGACCAUAUUACUUUGUCUGCAAGAGAUAUUACUAUUUUAGCUGACAGUCUGUGUUCAAUCCACACUCCUACUAUUGCCAUGACAGGUAAUUUAAUAGCUAGCCUGGCUCAUUCUAGAGCUGGGAUUCCAGAGGCUUUCCUCACACUGGGAACAAUCCAGUGACUCUGCUACCACCUGUACUCAGGAAGUGAAGAGGUUCAAACAGCAUGUUCCUGUGCCCUUGGCUACCUCACUUACAAUGCACAUGCUUUCUGAAUUCUGUUAACUGAGUGUAGGAAUAAGCCUAACCAGUUCCUGCACAUAAAUAACAUCAGUAAAGAUGCAAAGACCAAUCUUCAGUUCCUAAAGAAGUUUCAAAUGCAGCAAAGUGUGGGACUUCCAUCCUUAAAUCUUGAGAAAAAUGGAGGACCGCCUGUAAUUCCUGUCUUUAAACAGGGGAAAGAGCACCAAACAGAAAGCAUGACCUAAAAUCCAGCCAAGAGAUUCCCUGACUUUAUUACCUUCAGUGACUAACUUCAAAGGGCUCUUCAGAACAACACACAAGGCCAGUAUUUCCCACAACACUUUUUCAUUUCCACCUGGAGUUUCAUCAGAUAUCAUAAAUGGAUCAAGACCAAGAAUAGCGUUUUUGAACAAACUUGGGAAAGAUGAACAGAACACCAACCCAGACCCUGCAGAAAGCCAAUAA
rnacentral:lncRNA from 1 species